rnacentral:misc_RNA from 1 species
AACUUUUAACAAUGUAUCUCUUGGCUCUCGCAUCGAUGAAGAACGCAGCGAAAUGCGAUACGUAAUGUGAAUUGCAGAAUUCAGUGAAUCAUCGAAUCUUUGAACGCACCUUGCGCCCCUUGGAAUUCCGAGGGGCACACCCGUUUGAGUGUCGUGAACAUCCUUCAACCUUUCUUGGUUUCUUAACCGGGGAAGGCUUGGACUUUGGGGGUCUUUCAUUGCUGGCCUCUUUGAAGCCAGCUCCUCCUAAAUGGAUUAGUGUGGUCUGCUUUGCCGAUCCUUGACGUGAUAAGAUGUUUCUACGUCUUGGGUUUCGCACUGUCGCUUUAGACCCCGCUUCUAACCGUCUUGCAUUCAAGACAGAGUUUUAAACCUUGACCUCAAAUCGGGUGAGACUACCCGCUGAACUUAAGCAUAUCAAUAAGCGGAGGCU